rnacentral:rRNA from 1 species
GAAUGCUGACAUAAGUAACGAUAAAGCGGGUGAAAAGCCCGCUCGCCGGAAGACCAAGGGUUCCUGUCCAACGUUAAUCGGGGCAGGGUGAGUCGACCCCUAAGGCGAGGCCGAAAGGCGUAGUCGAUGGGAAACGGGUUAAUAUUCCCGUACUUGGUGUUACUGCGAAGGGGGGACGGAGAAGGCUAUGUUGGCCGGGCGACGGUUGUCCCGGUUUAAGCGUGUAGGUGUGUGUUCCAGGUAAAUCCGGUUCACUUUAACACUGAGGCGUGACGACGAGGCACUACGGUGCUGAAGCAACAAAUGCCCUGCUUCCAGGAAAAGCCUCUAAGCAUCAGGUAACAUCAAAUCGUACCCCAAACCGACACAGGUGGUCAGGUAGAGAAUACCAAGGCGCUUGAGAGAACUCGGGUGAAGGAACUAGGCAAAAUGGUGCCGUAACUUCGGGAGAAGGCACGCUGACACGUAGGUGAAGUGAUUUACUCAUGGAGCUGAAGUCAGUCGAAGAUACCAGCUGGCUGCAACUGUUUAUUAAAAACACAGCACUGUGCAAACACGAAAGUGGACGUAUACGGUGUGACGCCUGCCCGGUGCCGGAAGGUUAAUUGAUGGGGUCAGCGCAAGCGAAGCUCCUGAUCGAAGCCCCGGUAAACGGCGGCCGUAACUAUAACGGUCCUAAGGUAGCGAAAUUCCUUGUCGGGUAAGUUCCGACCUGCACGAAUGGCGUAAUGAUGGCCAGGCUGUCUCCACCCGAGACUCAGUGAAAUUGAACUCGCUGUGAAGAUGCAGUGUACCCGCGGCAAGACGGAAAGACCCCGUGAACCUUUACUAUAGCUUGACACUGAACAUUGAGCCUUGAUGUGUAGGAUAGGUGGGAGGCUUUGAAGUGUGGACGCCAGUCUGCAUGGAGCCGACCUUGAAAUACCACCCUUUAAUGUUUGAUGUUCUAACGUGGACCCGUUACCCGGGUUGCGGACAGUGUCUGGUGGGUAGUUUGACUGGGGCGGUCUCCUCCUAAAGAGUAACGGAGGAGCACGAAGGUUGGCUAAUCCUGGUCGGACAUCAGGAGGUUAGUGCAAUGGCAUAAGCCAGCUUGACUGCGAGCGUGACGGCGCGAGCAGGUGCGAAAGCAGGUCAUAGUGAUCCGGUGGUUCUGAAUGGAAGGGCCAUCGCUCAACGGAUAAAAGGUACUCCGGGGAUAACAGGCUGAUACCGCCCAAGAGUUCAUAUCGACGGCGGUGUUUGGCACCUCGAUGUCGGCUCAUCACAUCCUGGGGCUGAAGUAGGUCCCAAGGGUAUGGCUGUUCGCCAUUUAAAGUGGUACGCGAGCUGGGUUUAGAACGUCGUGAGACAGUUCGGUCCCUAUC